AGAAGAUAGGCUGUGGGAAUUUCGGGGAGCUUCGCCUAGGAAAGAACCUGUAUACAAAUGAGUACGUGGCUAUCAAACUGGAGCCCAUCAAGUCCCGGGCCCCGCAGCUGCAUCUGGAGUACCGCUUCUACAAGCAGCUCAGCACCACAGGUGUCCCUCAGGUCUACUACUUCGGCCCUUGCGGGAAGUACAACGCCAUGGUGCUGGAGCUGCUGGGGCCCAGCCUGGAGGACCUGUUCGACCUGUGCGACCGCACCUUCACGCUAAAGACGGUGCUGAUGAUCGCCAUCCAGCUGAUCACGCGCAUGGAGUAUGUGCAUACCAAG
rnacentral:lncRNA from 1 species